AUGGAGAAGGUUUUUGAUGAGCUCCGCCCUCCGCUCAGGUUAGAAAAUCUUGAUAUCAGAGGAUAUUUUGGCCAACGGCUCCCAAGGUGGAUGAUGUCAUCAUUAGAUGUGCCCCUCAAGAGCUUAAGGAUUCUGUUCAUUGUUGACCUAGCUUGCUGCACACAGCUUCCGGAUGGCUUGUGUCAGCUCCCCUGUUUGGAGUACAUUCAGAUCGAUCGUGCUCCAGCCAUCAAGCGUGUUGGACCAGAUUUUCUGCAAUCCUACCAUCACCACAGUCCUCGUCCUUCCCAGAUGGUGGCUGCAUUUCCGAGAUUGGAUAGGAUGCAACUAAUAGGAAUGGUGGAAUGGGAGGAGUGGGAGUGGGAGGAGCAACUGCAAGCCUUUCCUGUCUUGCAGGAACUUAGGCUGGAGCGGUGCAAAUUGAAGUGUCUUCCUCCCGGCCUUGCUUCCUAG
rnacentral:rRNA from 1 species